AGAGUUUGAUCAUGGCUCAGAUUGAACGCUGGCGGCAUGCUUUACACAUGCAAGUCGAACGGCAGCACGGGCUUCGGCCUGGUGGCGAGUGGCGAACGGGUGAGUAAUGCAUCGGAACGUACCGUGUAGUGGGGGAUAACGUAGCGAAAGUUACGCUAAUACCGCAUACGCCCCGAGGGGGAAAGUGGGGGACCGCAAGGCCUCACGCUAUAUGAGCGGCCGAUGUCGGAUUAGCUAGUUGGUGGGGUAAAGGCCUACCAAGGCGACGAUCCGUAGCGGGUCUGAGAGGAUGAUCCGCCACACUGGGACUGAGACACGGCCCAGACUCCUACGGGAGGCAGCAGUGGGGAAUUUUGGACAAUGGGCGCAAGCCUGAUCCAGCCAUGCCGCGUGAGUGAAGAAGGCCUUCGGGUUGUAAAGCUCUUUCAGACGGAAAGAAAUCUCUUGGGUUAAUACCCUGGGAGGAUGACGGUACCGUAAGAAGAAGCACCGGCUAACUACGUGCCAGCAGCCGCGGUAAUACGUAGGGUGCGAGCGUUAAUCGGAAUUACUGGGCGUAAAGCGUGCGCAGGCGGUGAUGUAAGACAGAUGUGAAAUCCCCGGGCUCAACCUGGGAACUGCGUUUGUGACUGCAUCACUCGAGUACGGCAGAGGGAGGUGGAAUUCCGCGUGUAGCAGUGAAAUGCGUAGAUAUGCGGAGGAACACCGAUGGCGAAGGCAGCCUCCUGGGCCAGUACUGACGCUCAUGCACGAAAGCGUGGGGAGCAAACAGGAUUAGAUACCCCGGUAGUCCAA
rnacentral:rRNA from 1 species